UACGGGGGGGGCAAGCGUUGUUCGGAAUUACUGGGCGUAAAGGGCUCGUAGGUGGUCAACUAAGUCGGACGUGAAAUCCCUCGGCUUAACCGGGGAACUGCGUCCGAUACUGGAUGACUUGAGUUCGGGAGAGGGAUGCGGAAUUCCAGGUGUAGCGGUGAAAUGCGUAGAUAUCUGGAGGAACACCGGUGGCGAAGGCGGCAUCCUGGACCGACACUGACGCUGAGGAGCGAAAGCAUGGGGAGCAAACAGG
rnacentral:rRNA from 1 species